UGUUCAGGGGUAAACCUGUGGUUCCCGAAAGUUCGAACGGGGAGAUUCAAUUGCCUCGCCGGUUAUGACCAUUUAACAGUGAUGUUUAUAUAUGAGACAUUAUACGCGGUUACUAGUUAAUUCCUGUAAUUUCAGUGUAUGGUGCUCCGCUGUUUUAUGCUAUACUGUUUAUAGCCGGAGGCGUGCACUUCUCCCCUUGUAGGACGUCGUGACCCAUUGGAUUAUGUUGUCUAAGGCUCAUGAUGGAGACCGUGGCAUUGAGUUUCGGCUUUAAUGACCCGGACUUGUGAUGUCCCGACAUCUAUCCGAUGGUAGUAUUAUGAUGAUGGGUCGUUUGGAUAUUAACGUACAGAUCUAUGACAAAUGCUUAUAUGGUAAUAUUAAGUGGAAAUCGGAUUAUAUGCCGGUUCUACACGUAUGGCAUUGUUGGUUAUAGUAUUCUCGUACAGGUCCUUAUCAUCAGUCAACGGCGUUUAUGUUUUGGGUAAUUACAGGACCCGUCUUGAAACACGGACCAAGGAGUCUAGCAUGUGCGCGAGUCAUUGGGACUCAGUGAAACCUAAAGGCGUAAUGAAAGUGAAGUAUUUGUGGAUUUUCGUAAUUCACUUGUUUAAGGGAAGAUGGGUAACGUUAUUUAUGUUACCUCGCAUUCCCGGGGCGUCGCGUACUUAUUGCAAGUUGCGGCGCACCAAGAGCGUACACGCUGGGACCCGAAAGAUGGUGAACUAUGCCUGGUCAGGAUGAAGUCAGGGGAAACCCUGAUGGAGGUCCGUAGCGAUUCUGACGUGCAAAUCGAUCGUAUGAACUGGGUAUAGGGGCGAAAGACUAAUCGAACCAUC
rnacentral:rRNA from 1 species